AUGACGACCGCCCCCUCCGGCAAAGGCAAGCCUCGCGUUCCCCGCAAGACCGCCGCCGCGCCCAAGCCGAAGAAGGCGUUGACGCCCGAACAGCGGGCAAGGGAGUCGGCCAAGAGGAAGGGCCGGAGGCACGCCGCGGACGCGAGGGAUGAAGCCAUCGCGGUGGCCGCCGUCGCCGCCGCCGCGCAGCAGGAGGUCUCCAACGCCCGCGUCACGGUGGCAACGAGGGUGGCGCUCUAUAUGCUAGGGUUAAACCCUAGCCAGCACGGCCUCGUCAAUGCCGCCAUGGCCGCGGCCAGCACCGGCUCAUCCGCGUUCCCUCGGAUGGUGCUGCCCGACUCGCCCCGCGCGUCGGCUUGCACCCCGAUGCCCGGCUUCCACGUCUACCCGCAGGCCUCCCGCCUCUUCUGGGAGUGCUCGCCCGAGGUGAGCGUGGUGGCGCCUUCCAGGCCGGCGCCCGCGCCCAUCGACCUCAGCGCCACACCGGUGGCCGGUAGCUCGUCAUCCGGAGGCGCGAGGAAACGCGCGCGGCAGAUGCCGACCGACGUGAUGUCGGGCGCACGCAACCUGUUCGAUGGAAUGCCGGCCGCCGGCGACGAGGACUACAUGCAGAACCUGAUCUUCGAGGGUGGUGCGCCGGCCGCUGGCUACGAUCCCGACAAGACACAAAAGCCAGGACGGCUGAGGGGCAUUCACGCCGGCCGCUGGCUACGAUCCCGAUCAGGCGGCCUUCAUGCGUGA
rnacentral:rRNA from 1 species